UUUGUUUUAAGUUAAUUUUUAGCCAAUUAAAUUGCCCCCAUCCCAACUGUUUUGGGAAUGUGUUGCUGGAUUUAAAUGCAGGAAUGGGUAUAUAUUAACAAAUGAAAUGAAACUGACAACACAAAACAUGAAAUGUCUUGGUUCAUACAGUCUGUAAU